CCUACGGGAGGCUGCAGUGAGGAAUAUUGGUCAAUGGACGAGAGUCUGAACCAGCCAAGUAGCGUGAAGGAUGACUGCCCUAUGGGUUGUAAACUUCUUUUAUAUGGGAAUAAAAUGUUCCACGUGUGGGAUUUUGUAUGUACCAUAUGAAUAAGGAUCGGCUAACUCCGUGCCAGCAGCCGCGGUAAUACGGAGGAUCCGAGCGUUAUCCGGAUUUAUUGGGUUUAAAGGGACCGUAGGUGGAUUGUUAAGUCAGUCGUGAAAGUUUGCGGCUCAACCGUAAAAUUGCAGUUGAAACUGGCAGUCUUGAGUACAGUAGAGGUGGGCGGAAUUCGUGGUGUAGCGGUGAAAUGCUUAGAUAUCACGAAGAACUCCGAUUGCGAAGGCAGUUCACUGGACUGCAACUGACACUGAGGCUCGAAAGUGUGGGUAUCAAACAGGAUUAGAUACCCUUGUAGUC
rnacentral:rRNA from 1 species